CACAUGUCCGAACCCACACAUUCGCUUGUCCCCCGUCCCCGUCACUCUGGUCCUCGAGUUCCGUGCGGACCCCGGAACCCUAGCCGGGCGCCGCCGCCACCGCAGGCCAGCGAGGGCCGCCGUCUCCCACCCCUUGCUCGCCCCCUCCCGCGUGGAUCCGAGUCCCGCCCCUUCCUCGCCCCUGACUCCCGCCGCCGGCCAGCGAGCGCAGCCCUCGCGCGAGGCCGCCGUGCUUGCGCGUCGCGAGGGGCCAGCCAGGGCAGCCGCGCCGAGGGCACCGCUCGGCCAAGGCACCCCCUCCCUCGCUCGUUCCAGGCUUCCAGCCCAGCGGCUAGCGAGCGCCGCCCUCGCUCGUCCGCUCGCCCCUCCGAGCCGACGCGGGGAUGGACGCCGUGCAGCGGCGGCUCAUGUUCGAGGAUGAGUGAGUUCCCUUCAUCCCCCCUAUCUUGUCAAUUUUACUAGUUGCGCGACACAGCCACGCACAGAUCUGCAGGCACCUUCACCGGAUCUACCUAUCUCCAACCUUGCUGGGUCAACACAGCCUCCAAGCUCAUCACCUUAAGCGCCAAUCAAUUCCUGUGAAGAGGUGAGCAGGACCGGUGGCUUUGCCCUUCCGCAGGAUCUGUAUAGGGCACUGAGGAAGGCCUGAUACUGGAUGGAGAAGCUUUCGUUACGGAUAGGCUAUGAACUGGAAGAUGCUCCACAGCAUCAGGUGGCUGCCGGCCAAUAGCUAGCAUUCCCAUCUCCAUGGCUCCCUCUCCAAGCACCAGGUCGAGCUCAAGCCUCCAGCAUGCUGCAAGCUACUCAACGUUAAUGGUGCCAGCUAAUUUCUUUUGGACUCUUUUGUACAGCAGACCUCAUUCAUUGGUAACAUUUGUAUUUAGUCGUUAAGUGCUAUUUUGGAGUUGUACUCAAUGAUGACCAAUGUUUGUAUGGCUAACGUGAUAACUUAUAUCACUCUGAUUGUUUGGAUUUAGUCGUGAAUGAAUACGGUUUGUUGGCCUACUGUUGAUGUACUGAA